ACCAGGAUGGCCGAGUGGUUAAGGCGUUCGACUUAAGUUCCAAUGUACGAAUGUACGCGUGGGUUCGAACCCCACUCCUGGUA
rnacentral:tRNA from 2 species